UGGAAGAAAAACGAGCUUAGAUUUUUAUAGAAAAAAGUAUAAUAUUUUAUUGGAUUUAACUUUAAAUUUCAUGUUGCCAAAAUUAAAGGUUUUUAAGAAUCAUAGAGCAAAUUUAAGUAAAAUAAUAUAUUUAGGUUUGAAAUUACAGUGAUAUAACAUGAUAACCAUUUUUUGAAUAAAGUAAUAUAAAACAGAGUAGCAGUAACAUACAAAAUAUAAAAAUGUUCAAUGUCGUUCAUUGGAUUUCUCAUUUCAAUAGGUACGAUUAAAAAUCUGAAUUUGGGGGAAAUAAAAUCAAAUGUCGACAACACUGUUGAUAAAACAAAAAUCAAUAAAAAUGGCGUAACGUAGAAAUCAAUAAAAUACGAAAACUUUUUAGCCAAUUUAAAUCACUGUUUCAUAUGUUUUUCUUAGAAAUUUAUCGUCUUUUUUUCUUAAAUUGAGUAUACUUGUUUUGUAUACACUCGUAUAAAGAAUCAGUGAGCGCUAAUAACCAUAACCGCGAUUGAGAAAUGUAUUCCUUGGUUUGGACUUGCAUUUUGCGUUUUCACGAAGAUCAAAGGAAAGGUGGCCCACAUCUAGCGAAUGCCGAAGAUGCACCAAACAUCUUCUGGGGGUUCUGGGGACUUCUGGGGGUGUUCUUACUGUGAAGGCGAUAAGGGCAUGUAAAACAACCUCCAAGUGCAAGCUGCUGGAAAAACUACCUCAGGAGAGUGGCUGGACGAGAACGACUGGAUGGAAAAGGCUAAAGGGACUCUCAUACAUGCAUGCAGUAUGAUAACUAUAUAAGACUGCAAUUACGGAGGUGGAAAGCAUAGUUUUGUCAUCACAGAAAUAAGGAGUUGGUCAUCUGAAUUGGUGUUUACACUGGGAACACAGUGAAAUCCUGCACCUGAGGUGCUGUGUGAGAAGCUACAAAACUGAAAAAGAAACAUGUUGGAACUAUACCAGGCAUUCCUGAACAAAUUGAG